rnacentral:lncRNA from 1 species
UAGUGACAUAGAAACUGCAUAGUUUUCAUUUACUAAUUAAAAUGUUGAGGUCUACUUCUGAAAGUCCUCAUAUUUAAAAGAUAGACAACAUAAUGAGAUUUUUAACUAUUUGUAUGUCAUUUUGAAAGUGUACUGCUUUAUGGUAAAAGUGUUUUUCAUUUGUUCAUUGUUUGCAUUAUUUGUGAUCAUGUUGUCUUUCAAUACAGGCAUAAACCUUCCACUCUUGAACAAAGCAGCUGCUUUUUAAAAGCGAGAAAAAGGAAAACGGGGCACAGGCCAUUCGACGCCUUCUCCAAGGGGUCUGAUUUGCUGAGACACCAGCUUCACCUUCUUAACAAGGCACCUAAUUACAACAAGCAUGCACAUUUUGGUGCAUUCAAGAAUGGAAUAUCAGAGUAGCAGCAUU